AAGAUGACACUAAAGGACUUCUAAUCCUUUCCAUCUCAAAGAGAACAUCUUU
rnacentral:tRNA from 1 species